GGGGCCGUAGCUCAGAUGGUAGAGCGCCUGUUUUGCAAGCAGGAGGUCGCGAGUUCGACUCUCGCUGGUUCCA
rnacentral:tRNA from 1 species